rnacentral:rRNA from 1 species
UAGGCUGGGUGUGGAAGUGCAGUAAUGCAUUAAGCUAACCAGUACUAAUUGCCCGUACGGCUUGUCCCUAUAACCUUAGCAGGU